GCUGGAAGCUGUCGGCAUGCUGUCCAUUGAUGCGGAUCUCCUUGUCAGUCCUUUUUGGACUCUUUGAGUCAGCUGCAGCCGGGAGCUCAGCUGACAAGAAGACGACCAGCUCAAAGUGGUGAGGAGCUUCUCUCUGCAGGAGAGCAGCCAGCGGGCUGGAUGCAGUCAUGGAAUGGUAGUAGGUCAGUGGGAAGAUGAAAAAAGGACACUGGUCUGCAGUGAUGCUGUCCAGGUGGAAGUCAAUGCUAGUUUGGUGCAGCUGCCCACUCUCUUGUUCUUGGUAAAGUAUAGCAGAGAUCUGGACGCUGGUCAGGGGGCUGGAGCGAGUGUUGGCCACCUGGAACAUGAGGUGUGGCUUCCCCUCUGUGUGUGUGACCACGGCGGAGCGUGAGAAGCGGAUGGAGAGUGCCCGGUUCUUCGGGCGCGCGAUCUUGGCCACGAAAGCACCUGGAGCACGGGAAGGAGCAAAGUCAGUGUGAGCACAGAGCCUGGGCUGGUUCCCUGCAGGCUCCAAAGGAGCAGAAGCAGGCUGAGACUGGAAAGACCAUGUUUGAAAAUUGCUAGAUUGGCAUCAUGCUAACUUGCUUUUGUUCAAAAAAGUACAGCUUUCCUAAAAUGUUUAUUUUUCUUAAUUAUGUUCACUUACUAAUGUUUGGAAGUUAACUGUAGCUGUAAGGAGGCUGUUAGCUUGCCCCAACUUAGUGCAAUUGGUAAUAGGAGCUGAUCUUGGUGUGUUACACUGUAGAAGCUCUUUCUAAUACACAGUAAACUACCCUGUGUAUUUUCAAACUGUUUUGAAGUACUUUAAACAUGAAGAAUAUUUUAAAUAACUUAAAAUACCUCAAAAUAGCUGUGACAUUGUAAAAAUUUUCAUUACCUUGGGUACUGAGGAAUACGUAAACACUGAGGUAAAGAUCAGUGAAGAUAGCUCAGCUAGACAAAAGUAUACCUUAAAAGUCAAAACAAAUUGACUUUAAAUAUUGUAAUUAUAUGGUAAAAGCUUGGAGAGAUAAUGGUAUAAGAAAUAAAUGAUUGAGAGGGAUGUGCAGUGAUCAGCCGCAAGUAUUUUCCGAUGAAUAGUGAAAUUCGUAAGUCCAGAUAUUGAUAACAUCUAAUUUGUCUCUCUUGAUGAAAGGUGUUUAACUUUUAGUACUACAUAGCUGAAGUCUUGUCAUCCUUGUAGUGGCUACCUUAAUUAUUCUUUCAUAUAUCAAAAUGAACAGUAUUUAUUUCUAGCUCCAUUCUUAAAUCCAAUUGUCACACCAGUUGUAUGUAAAGAUGCAGUAGGAAGGGAUUACCUGUGAUGAAGGCUUCUAGCAUGAGCCCCAGGACCAUCUGGAUUGCCAGCAGUGCAAUAGCACUGGGACAGUCCCCACUUGGGAACAUGGUACCGUAGCCAAUCGUGAGUUGUGUCUCCAGUGAGAAGGAGAAGGCAGCUGUAAAACUGGUGAUGUACUUGACACAUAUAGUGUGGUUGUCAGGUGGAGCGUUGUGGUCCAGCUCCAGGUCCCCAUUCAUCUCAGCCAGCAGAUACCAGAGCACUGCAAAGACCAGCCAGUGAAUGACAAAGGAAGCCGAGAAGACGAGCAUCAUCCAUCUCCAGCGCAUGUCCAUGAGUAUCCCCCACGCAUCUCGGAGGUACGCCACACCUCUGCCUUGGGCACCGGCCAUCUGGAACGUGCUGUGUCCGUCCUUGGUCACCAGCCUCAGGGGAAUGCUGUACUUUAGCUACUAGCCUUUUCUGACUCUCCUAGCUCAAGAAUUGUCUGCUGUCUUCACCCACCAUGUCCAGUUAAACAGAAUUACAGUACUCAGGGCAGAGCUGCUUCUGGGAGUCUGCGGCUGUUUAUGUAAGGAUCAGGUAAAAAGAGGGCAGGAGACCAAUAUGGAAAAAAUACACUGUGACAUAAUUUCCAGUCUAGUCUGCCUGAGCAGUGCAAUUUUUAUUAGUGACCAAAUAAAAUAGGACAGCAAGUAUAUGGGAAUUAAGGUGGAAUUGCAGAUAUGGGAAGCAAAAUGGGUACCUGUAAGUAUUUGACAUAUUAGGCUCCUUUGUUUGCUUUUAAACCUCAAAGCUUGUGGAAUUUGCUAGAGCUGCUGAAUGUCUUUUGAAAAGAUACUGGUCACUCAAAUCCAUACACUUUAUAAAUACUGCAUGUUUAAAGUUCACCUGGGACAGAUUAAAAUUAAGUACAGGUUUGUGUAAAAUAGAGACUUCAUAAUGUGUACAACCUGUUUAAAACAGUUUGUGAGGAAGCUUGUUUGUAGAACAACAGAGGAUUUAAAAAUACAUGUAAGUUCUGCAAAUGAUAAUUACACAUGAUGUAUUUAGUCACUUUUGUUUUCCUAUCAAUUUUGACCUUUCUUUGAAUGAUGACCAUUUCAGUCUAUUA